UCAAAUUAGAGUUUUCUGGAUACUUAUUAGUUACUAACAAAGAGAGGGCUUCUUCGAUAUUAACUUUUAAGUAUCCAGAAAACUCUAAAUUUGA
rfam:Arabidopsis thaliana chromosome 1, complete sequence.